rnacentral:rRNA from 1 species
UACGUAGGCAGCGAGCGUUGUUCGGAGUUACUGGGCGUAAAGGGUGUGUAGGCGGUUUGUCGCGUCUGCUGUGAAAAUCCGGGGCUCAACCCCGGACUUGCAGUGGGUACGGGCAGACUAGAGUGUGGUAGGGGAGACUGGAAUUCCUGGUGUAGCGGUGAAAUGCGCAGAUAUCAGGAGGAACACCGAUGGCGAAGGCAGGUCUCUGGGCCACUACUGACGCUGAGAAGCGAAAGCAUGGGGAGCGAACAGG